rnacentral:rRNA from 1 species
GCAGUAGCCACGGUAAUACAGAGGGUGCGAGCGUUAAUCGGAUUUACUGGGCGUAAAGCGUGCGUAGGCGGCUUCUUAAGUCGGAUGUGAAAUCCCUGAGCUUAACUUAGGAAUUGCAUUCGAUACUGGGAAGCUAGAGUAUGGGAGAGGAUGGUAGAAUUCCAGGUGUAGCGGUGAAAUGCGUAGAGAUCUGGAGGAAUACCGAUGGCGAAGGCAGCCAUCUGGCCUAAUACUGACGCUGAGGUACGAAAGCAUGGGGAGCAAACAGGAUUAGAUACCCCCGUAGUCCCUGUCUCUUAUAA